UCCUGAAACGGGUCAUAGCGACUGUCUUGACAUUGUCAUUAUUGAGAUGUGAGCAGAGCAAGACGUUUUGGCUAACUAACGGCUAGCCUGUUUGUUGACGCGGGAGGUUACAUGUACGCGACUUGAGUUGGCAGAGAGGCGGCUACUUGACCUAUCGAUCAUCCCUAUGUCGUGGAGGAAAACUGAGCUGCGACGAGAGACCUCACUCAGCGAUGAUGUCAUCGUUCAAUGGACAGCUUGGUGUUAGUUAUUGUUGGAGAAUGGCAGAGUGAGACGAUACUGGCAACAUUGCUGCAGGGAAUUCAUCCCACAGUGCAUCCCACGGUGCAUACCCCAGUAAGCAGCAGCAGAAAAUGCCCCUACAGCUGCUUGGCAGUGACGCAACGACAUCAUCAAACAGCUCGGCAAGUGACUGCGGUCAUCACAUAUAGACAUCAACAAUGAGUUCUGCGGGUAUAAUCGUCGGUCCAAUCACAAGCCGUGACAUCUCUUCCCAUGGCUUCAGUGAUCAGCAAGAGCAGAUGCACUUCCCACCACACCACCAGUAUGUCGGGCAUACACAGUGACCACCGCAACCAAAGCUUCAGCAGCAGCAGUAGCAGCAGCAGUAGCAGCAGCAGUAUAAGCUGCGACAUCAGCCAUCACCACAUCCUCCCAUACAGUCUUCAAAUCAUGGAAUGGUCACACGGCUCCUCUCUUGAACUCUGUAUCAAGUGUUGUGUGACAUCAGAGCAUCACUCUCCAAUUCCAGCCAGUCUCACCGCUCCACACCAUCACUAAUCAUGAAACCGACGUUGCAAUAACAUCAAGGUGUAAUAAAGUAGCAGCAGCAGCAGCAGCGCCACCACAGCCAGCACACUUUCCAUACCAGCAUGAUACAGUGAUUAAUAAUCAUCAAAAGCCAGGAGCAGCUACAGCACCACUUCCACAACAUUCUGCUGCACUGCCUGAUAGCCAUGCUGCUGUUCCCAUGCCGCAAAAUGGAGGGCAGUCACUGGAUGUGGGAGAGGCCAAUCAUCACCUGCUGCGCUCGAGAGCAGUCAUCACAGUUUCAGUCUAUGGUGUGAUGCGAACACUUGAACCGUUUAGUCUCGGUCCUGCUCAGUAGUGGAGUCGUCUAGUGGCAGCAGGACAUUUAUUCCACUCUCCCAGGAUUUUGAACAGGUCAUUGUUACUGAAGCCAUGAUGCUCUCCGGAGAAUGCAUAGCAAGUUUGCCUCAAGGACCAGCUGCAAAAUAGGACAACGCGGUGUGCUGCCUUCCCAUGAGUUAUAAAGAAUGGAUCGUCAAGGUACGUGGAUUACUGCAACAGUAUGUGAUUGAUUAUCCCAGCUGAGAAGUCAUCCACGGUUGAUCCCACUCAGCAUGGUGAUACGGUAUGAUCUGCUGCUAUGUGUGAGGCUCAUCUGCAGAGCAACAUUGUCCUCCUAUAUCGCUGCCCUGUACUGACAAGACUACUUCAGGUAUGUCAAGUAAGCGGCAAGAACAGCAACGGAAGCAGGAACAGACAUAGGACAGAUGUGGUGUGCUAUAUCCUUAUUGUAAAUAUUCUACAGCAGCAUAUCACUGUAUUGAAUGAUUGCAGGAUGAACAAGCACAGUGGAAUGCAGAAGAAGAUGACAAGUAACUAUGGUAACAUUGAUAGCUGCCUUUGAGACACAUUUACCGAAGUGUCUUGUAUUACAAGCCUGUCUCAUGUAGAAGCCUGUUAUGCAAGCCUGAUUUUUACGAUACUCUGCUAGCACAGAAGCCUGGUUUUAGCGUUGACAAACAUGUACACACAAAUGCCUGAUUUGAAUGGAAGCCUAGCCCUGACAUCGGUUUUCACAGGAAUAGGCCCGUCUUUCACACGUCAACAUUUUGUCAUGAUUUCUGUACUGGGAAGUCCAUAUUUAUUGUAAUUUACUCUCGAUGAGUGUUGCUGAUAACAAUGCAGAUAUGAUUAUUGUAUAAACAACAUCUGCUCAAUAAUUAAAAUGUUGAUGGUGUAAGAUGGAUGUAUGGCAGUAGGCACGGAGUAUUCCCCUU